GUCUAUGUCCAUACCACCCUGAAUGUACCUGAUCUUGGAAGCUAAGCAGGGUCAGGCCUGGUUAGUACUUGGAUGGGAGACAGAUAGGUAAAUAGAUAUAUAUU
rnacentral:rRNA from 1 species